rnacentral:lncRNA from 1 species
CCUCCCGAAGGGCUGCCCAAAUUCGUCCGUGUGCUUAUAGUCCUACCAAACCUCCGACGAAUUUUUCCGGUGAACUUUCCGAUUGUUCUCGUAAGUGGUUAUAAUUUUAGCUUCAUUAAUCCGUGUCUUAACCGACCAUUUUAUUUAUACAAGAGCUCGUUAUUAUCAUCGAUCUACUCUCUACAAAAACUCUUCAUCUCAUAUCUCUAAUAAAAAAAGAUUUAUUAUUUCGAACAAAUUACAUACACGAACUAAAGAUUCGUUGUAUUCGAAAUACACUAACACGAACUAAAGUUUCGUGAUAUAUUUGAGAUUUAUUAUACAAGAACAACUUUUAUA